CAGUUUUCUUUAUGUGGGAUACAUUUUGUUCAGUUUACUUGUCAGGGUAAAUUUAUUAGAUAUAUUCUGUUCAGUUUACUUGUCAGGGUAAAUUUAUUUCUUGUGUUCCAUAAUUGAGGGUCGUUGCUUAAUAUCCUACAGUUGAUAUUUAAUUAUCAUGUGUGAAACAUGUAGAUGGAUUUUGACUAUGUAAGAUUAUAUUUAUACCAAGUGCUAAUAUGUUUUUCUUUUGCAGGAGUUCUCUCCAGGAUCUAACGGUAGAAUGACAACCAUGGUUAUUCCACGGCAUGCAUGAAUAGCUUUGCACCUGUAAGCUAUUACUUGGCAGAGUAACUGAAAAGGUAAUUGAUUUUGGUAAAUGACUCGUCUCUUGAUGUGAGAUUUUGAGCUUGGAUUUCCAUUAUAGGGUUCGCGUUGAGAGGAGAUCACAUCUACCUCAUCAAUUUGUAUGAGAUUUAUAAGAGGUGUGACGAGAAAUAUUUUGGCAACGUAUUGAAUCAAGUUUAAGAAUUUAGACAUUUUUUUGAUAAAUUUACAUUUGAUAGCAUGUGGAAAUGACAAAAAUACUAUUAUUGUGUUUUGUUUUUUGGAUGUGUUGGGUGAUUGUAUUACUUAUAUAUGAUGAUUCAGUCUUACUUAUAUAUGAUGUCCCAAACUUCUUUCUGUUGUGAGAGACACAAUUCGAUGCAAAA